rnacentral:rRNA from 1 species
UCCGUAGGUGAACCUGCGGAGGGAUCAUUACAAGUGACCCCGGUCUAACCACCGGGAUGUUCAUAACCCUUUGUUGUCCGACUCUGUUGCCUCCGGGGCGACCCUGCCUUCGGGCGGGGGCUCCGGGUGGACACUUCAAACUCUUGCGUAACUUUGCAGUCUGAGUAAACUUAAUUAAUAAAUUAAAACUUUUAACAACGGAUCUCUUGGUUCUGGCAUCGAUGAAGAACGCAGCGAAAUGCGAUAAGUAAUGUGAAUUGCAGAAUCCAGUGAAUCAUCGAAUCUUUGAACGCACAUUGCGCCCCCUGGUAUUCCGGGGGGCAUGCCUGUUCGAGCGUCAUUUCACCACUCAAGCCUCGCUUGGUAUUGGGCAACGCGGUCCGCCGCGUGCCUCAAAUCGACCGGCUGGGUCUUCUGUCCCCUAAGCGUUGUGGAAACUAUUCGCUAAAGGGUGCUCGGGAGGCUACGCCGUAAAACAAACCCAUUUCUAAGGUUGACCUCGGAUCAGGUAGGGAUACCCGCUGAACUUAAGCAUAUCAAUAAGCGGAGGAAAAGAAACCAACAGGGAUUGCCCCAGUAACG